CCUACGGGGGGCUGCAGUGAGGAAUAUUGGUCAAUGGGCGAGAGCCUGAACCAGCCAAGUCGCGUGAAGGAUGACGGCUCUACGGGUUGUAAACUUCUUUUGUCAGGGAGCAAUUGGGUCCACGCGUGGGCUUAGCGAGAGUACCUGAAGAAAAAGCAUCGGCUAACUACGUGCCAGCAGCCGCGGUAAUACGUAGGUGGCAAGCGUUAUCCGGAUUUAUUGGGUGUAAAGGGCGUGUAGGCGGGAAAGCAAGUCAGAUGUGAAAACUCAGGGCUCAACCCUGAGCCUGCAUUUGAAACUGUUUUUCUUGAGUGCUGGAGAGGUAAUCGGAAUUCCGGGUGUAGCGGUGAAAUGCGUAGAUAUACGGAGGAACACCAGUGGCGAAGGCGGAUUGCUGGACAGUAACUGACGCUGAGGCGCGAAAGCGUGGGGAGCAAACAGGAUUAGAUACCCCAGUAGUC
rnacentral:rRNA from 1 species